rnacentral:rRNA from 1 species
CCUACGGGUGGCUGCAGUGGGGAAUAUUGCACAAUGGGCGCAAGCCUGAUGCAGCCAUGCCGCGUGUGUGAAGAAGGCCUUCGGGUUGUAAAGCACUUUCAGCGAGGAGGAAGGCGGUAAGGUUAAUAACCUUAUCGAUUGACGUUACUCGCAGAAGAAGCACCGGCUAACUCCGUGCCAGCAGCCGCGGUAAUACGGAGGGUGCAAGCGUUAAUCGGAAUGACUGGGCGUAAAGCGCACGCAGGCGGUCUGUUAAGUUGGAUGUGAAAUCCCCG